GACGAACGCUGGCGGCGUGCUUAACACAUGCAAGUCGAACGGUGAAGCGCCUUCCUUUUUGGUGGGUGUGGAUGAGUGGCGAACGGGUGAGUAACACGUGAGUAACCUGCCCCCUUCUUCUGGAUAACCGCAUGAAAGUGUGGCUAAUACGGGAUAUUCUGGGUCUGUCGCAUGAUGGGUCUGGGAAAGAUAUUGUUUCGGUGGGGGAUGGGCUCGCGGCCUAUCAGCUUGUUGGUGGGGUGAUGGCCUACCAAGGCGGUGACGGGUAGCCGGCCUGAGAGGGUGGACGGUCACACUGGGACUGAGACACGGCCCAGACUCCGACGGGAGGCAGCAGUGGGGAAUAGUGCACAAUGGGCGCAAGCCUGAUGCAGCGACGCCGCGUGAGGGAUGGAGGCCUUCGGGUUGUGAACCUCUUUCGCCAGUGAAGCAGGCCUGCCUCGUUUGUGGGUGGGUUGACGGUAGCUGGAUAAGAAGCGCCGGCUAACUACGUG
rnacentral:rRNA from 1 species